rnacentral:rRNA from 1 species
UUCUAAGGCCAGUCUACCCUAAACAUAAUGAAUCUUGUCUGAUCUUGGAUGUUAAGCAGGAUCAGAAUUUGUCAGUCCUUGGAUGGGAGACCUAACUUCAGUGCAAUUCAAGGUGAGAAA